rnacentral:rRNA from 1 species
GACGAACGCUGGCGGCGUGCCUAAUACAUGCAAGUUGAGCGCUGAAGGUUGGUACUUGUACCGACUGGAUGAGCAGCGAACGGGUGAGUAACGCGUGGGGAAUCUGCCUUUGAGCGGGGGACAACAUUUGGAAACGAAUGCUAAUACCGCAUAAAAACUUUAAACACAAGUUUUAAGUUUGAAAGAUGCAAUUGCAUCACUCAAAGAUGAUCCCGCGUUGUAUUAGCUAGUUGGUGAGGUAAAGGCUCACCAAGGCGAUGAUACAUAGCCGACCUGAGAGGGUGAUCGGCCACAUUGGGACUGAGACCCGGCCCAAACUCCUACGGGAGGCAGCAGUAGGGAAUCUUCGGCAAUGGACGAAAGUCUGACCGAGCAACGCCGCGUGAGUGAAGAAGGGUUUCGGAUCGUAAAACUCUGUUGGUAGAGAAGAACGUUGGUGAGAGUGGAAAGCUCAUCAAGUGACGGUAACUACCCAGAAAGGGACGGCUAACUACGUG